GACGAACGCUGGCGGCGUGCUUAACACAUGCAAGUCGAACGGAAAGGCCCUGCUUUUGUGGGGUGCUCGAGUGGCGAACGGGUGAGUAACACGUGAGUAACCUGCCCUUGACUUUGGGAUAACUUCAGGAAACUGGGGCUAAUACCGGAUAGGAGCUCCUGCUGCAUGGUGGGGGUUGGAAAGUUUCGGCGGUUGGGGAUGGACUCGCGGCUUAUCAGCUUGUUGGUGGGGUAGUGGCUUACCAAGGCUUUGACGGGUAGCCGGCCUGAGAGGGUGACCGGCCACAUUGGGACUGAGAUACGGCCCAGACUCAUACGGGAGGCAGCAGUGGGGAAUAUUGCACAAUGGGCGGAAGCCUGAUGCAGCAACGCCGCGUGCGGGAUGACGGCCUUCGGGUUGUAAACCGCUUUCGCCUGUGACGAAGCGUGAGUGACGGUAAUGGGUAGAGGAGCACGGGCUAACUACGUG
rnacentral:rRNA from 1 species